GGUUUGAUAGCUCAGCUGGGAGAGCGCACGACUGCAGUCCAAGAAGAGUCAUUCGUGAGGCCGCUGGUUCAACCCUUGCUGGGACCA